UGCCCCAAUGCCUCCAUGGGCUACAACAGAUCUAUGGCUGAUGGGAGGGUACGAGGUAGAGAAGGACGCGUCGUCGGCCCGUCACUUAGGCUGGUGAAGCACAGGUCAGGUCUGGGCGCAACGACCGGCGCCUGCGGGCAGGGUCGGCCGUGGAGGGAGGCUCGCCGGCCGGAGAAGCAGGAGCAAGGAGGUGGAGCUCCUCCUUCAACCUGUGUGUGUGAUUUCUUCCUUUUCUAUGAAUGCACAAAUCUGAAGCUUUUUUUGGUUGCCUCAUCCAGCUUUCUUCUGAA
rnacentral:lncRNA from 1 species